GGGGCUGUAGCUCAGUGGUAGAGCGCUUACCUCGCACAUGUGAGGCACUGGGUUCAAUCCUCAGCACCA
rnacentral:tRNA from 1 species